AGGGGGACAACAGUUGGAAACGACUGCUAAUACCGCAUACGAUCCUAAUCUCGGCAUCGAGGAUGAUGAAAGGUGGCCUCUACAUGUAAGCUAUCACUGAAGGAGGGGAUUGCGUCUGAUUAGCUAGUUGGAGGGGUAACGGCCCACCAAGGCGAUGAUCAGUAGCCGGUCUGAGAGGAUGAACGGCCACAUUGGGACUGAGACACGGCCCAG
rnacentral:rRNA from 1 species